rnacentral:lncRNA from 1 species
AACUAAUCUACACAGAAGAGACCUCUCCACUUCACUUAUCAGCCGUGUUUGCCUGAUAACUUAAAAACUAGAAGGCAUAUAUAUAUGCUUGAAUGCAGAUUACCGUUCAACUGAAGAGGUUUCUGCCAGAAAUAACUCGUAAAUAUCUUGUUUACAGAGGGAGCUUUAAGACAGUCUCUAUGUCUUUGAUUAUAAGUUGUCUGUCUUAUCAUCAUCCUUCAAAGCUGUACUUGGACCAUCAUCAAAACCAGAUACAGGAGCAAGCUCGUUUAAAUCGAGGUAAUGCCUUUUGCCUACUGCACCCUCAACUUCUUCUUGGUCUGUGCCGUUUGACUUGUUCACUUGAUUAUUAUUCUCUGUGCCAUUUGUUUUCUCUGCAUUGUCAUUGACUUCUCUAGUCUCUUCUUCUACUUCUUCAUCAGGAGAUUCUGAUUCAUGGUCAUUUGCCUUUUCUUCCGAGUCCUCACUUCCCAUUGUGAAGUUCCCAUUCCCUGAUUCAUCGGAAUGUUCAUCUGGCUCAACCAAUCGUUUCCGUUUAGCCACCCCUGUUACUUCUUUGUCUGAUUCCGAGAACUCAUAUUGUUGGUAAUCGAUUCUUGUGGCUCUUUUACUACGUCUCAGACCUGUCCGGUAAUCAUUUGACCUUGAUCUUGAUCUUGACUUAGCUUCUCUCCGUGGCAUUUUCUUACCUCUCCGGGGUUCAUCGCUAUCUUCUUCGCUGCUACUUUGAGAAUCUUCAUCAUCCUCUUCUUCUUCUUCCUCUUCCUCGUACUCAGCAUUGUCUUCAUCCCAUUUGUACUCUUCAUCCCCGUUUUCCUCCUCUCCCUCAGAACCACUAGAUAUCUUCUUCCGUUUGCGCUUCCUAAGAUACUCUUCAUCAUAAACUGCUUCCCCAACAAUGUCAUCAUCGCUCUCGAAUCCUGCAUCAUUGUCUGAAACAGUUUCAACAAAGUCCGUAGCUGAAUACCUCUGGGGCCGUUGUCUGCGCCUGUUACUGUCAGGACAUUGUACUCAGUAAUAAUUCAAUUUCGCAAAGAUCUGGAGGGAAAAAUAUAGGGGAGAUGAAAAUUACGCUGUCUCUUGCCUUUUGUCCAUGGAUUCAUCUCUCUGCUCAUCGAACUCAUCAGAAUCAGCAAAAUCAGAAGAUCCCGCAGAUGCUGUAUCGUUCACAGGUUCAGUAAGGUGGGCUGAACUUGUCGAACUGCCAUUCGCAAGAGCGUCCAAUCUGGCUGAUUCUCUUCUGUGGAGAAAAGGUUCUUCUGGUGAUGGAUUUUUCUUCCUGAGAUAGUGUUUUCAAAACAAGUGGAAUGUAAGAGGCAAUAGUCACCAAACAACAUGCUAAAGGAAAACAAUAGCAGAGAUGCUUCAAUAAAAGCGACACUCAAGACGUACUUUGUUAUCUUGAUAGCUUCAUUUAUCGACCUAUCAUAAUCAUCUGCAAUAAAUAUUAAGCGUUUAGAAAAGCCCUUCAGCCGAGUAGAAAUCAAGAUGGAUAUUCAUGAAUUCCCAACAAGGUUAUAACCUUACCAAAAGUGUAUCUAACUGGCUUCCUGUCACGGAGAGAACGGCCAGCACCAAGACCGUCAACAACCAAAUAGUUAUCCAGGAGAAGAGCCUGUCUAUGUUGCUUUUUCAACAAUUUUUCUUUCCUCUGUCAGAGAAUGAAAAAAAAUAAUAAUAUAAAAGGAUGCAAUUGAUAUGAAUUAUUCAGCCAAUGUGAGUUGAGUAGUAACGUUGUAUUCAACUGUAACCAAAGUGAAAACAGAAAUGAAAAGGAAAAACAGAGAGCAAAGUGGAACCUUGUGUUCUUUUUCUAUCUCAGGAAGCAUAUCUCUAGUUAACUUCUUCCCUAGAGAAAUCUCAAUUCUACUACUACUUGAAUUCAGUUUCUCCUGCAAAACAAAGGCAGAGAGCAUUUCAAUCAACAGUAAAAACAUAGAAAGUUAUUCAUCGAAAUUGCUCGUAGUAGAGACUUACAGAAACAUCUUGGAAUUCAUCAAAAUUAGUGGCAACAGUUUCCCAUUGAUAUGUUACGUUAGGAAGAAUCUUGGAACCCUUCGUUCUGACCUUGACCACCUCUGCUUUCCUUAUUUCCCGAUAUAAACGGUGACCAACUAAGGGAUCAUCCUCAUACCUUCAAAAAAAAAAAGAAACAAACAGAUGCUAUCAGAAAUAUGCAAACAAGGGAGUCCCAUUCAUGUUUUUUGAAAUUGCCACAUACCAAAAAUUAACUCCAUGUGAAUCACCCCCAACGCGAUCUUUGCGAAAAGCUGACACAUGAACACCAGUUUUUAGGGAAUUGUCAAUGUAGCUCCUGAUAUCCUCUUGCUGUGGAAAUACACAAAACCCAUGAAAACUGUAACAGUUAUAACGAACUUGUUUUCAAGCCAAUCAUACGAACAUUGAUAACAUAAUGGAAGUUCCAUUUCAACUGCAAGCAGAUUGGCAUAGAGCAGCAACAAUACCUCAACACGAAUAUCACAUAAAGCUUUCAAAAUCACCACACGAAUGGCUGGAUCAAGGGAUUUGUACACUUCAAUCUCCCGCCUACAAGAUUAACACGAGAAGCUCAUACAUGCUUCCUAACCAGUUACCAUGAGAUAAAGAGAUUGAUAACAACUAACCCUUGCGAGGCAAUAAUAGGAAGGUCCCCUUCUGCGACCUAAACAAGUAGGUGAAGGAGAUAUCAGAACAUGAUAUAAUGCAAAAAAAUGUGUACUUGUAAUAUCAGAUAAAAGAUGUUUAGAAAUCAUUACCCAAUGCCAGGAAUCUCUAAUUUUUCUGCACAGGACAGUGACCCAGGUAUCACGUGUGAGGGCCGUUCUAGUUACAGGAGGAAUGGCCUGCAAAUAAAAAGAAAGAAAAUUGGUAAACUGCUAAGCAGUGUGGACAUUAAUAGUAGAACAGAUUAUAACAGAUUCCAAAUCAUCCACAUCAAUUAUGCACAACAAAUAAAAAUCAUGAUAUCAUUCAUGACAACGAUCAAAGAAUUCAAUCAGGGAACUCUAAAAUGACUCAAGAAAGCGUUUCAGAGAAAAUUAGUGAUCCUGAACUGGGUAGCACAAGCCUAUAGGGAAGCUACCCAAAAACAUUUAACAACUAGGCCUUUUAACAGAACGUGACCAUUCAGGAAGCUAAGAAACGGAUACAAAUACGAGCUAAGAGCACCAAGAAGCUCUGUUCAUGUCAACGAGGCAAACUCUCGGAAGUUUAACACUGCUAGAAAGCAAAGCAAAUCAACAAGACUUAGGAAAGCAUCAAUAAGAAACACGAAGAGCAUACUAAAAGAGUAGGAGAGAAGACAAGAAUGGAUAGGGAAAGCACCAAACCUUUAACAGAGGAAUAUGAAUGUCACUUAAAGUAUCGUUAGGAUUCAGCAAAGCCGUCUCAAACUCCUCAGCUGAAAACUCCGCAUUGAUCUUCAAAAGCGGUCUAAAAACCUUCAAAAAAAGAGAGGAGAACUUGGGAGUGAGUGAGUGAGCUGGUAAGAACAAGACAAUUAAAGAGAAGAGAGAGAGAGUGAGCUGACAUGCAAGAAGUUGAGUACGGAAGCAAGUUCCCACAUAGACCUAAGAUUCCACCGCGGCAUCUGCGAAGCCUCCGGUGGCGGGACAAGCGAAGUAACGAUUUUGCUUUUGCCUGAACUUCCUCCUCCUCCAACGCAUUGCCGCUGAUGAUUCUCAUCUUCCUCUUCCUCUUCCUCCUCCUCAUCAUCAUCAUCUUCCUCCUCAACCUCUUCUUCCCUCCGUUUACACUCCUUCUUCAAAGGCCUGACCUUUCUCUCCGCCGCUUGCUGCUCCUGAAGCCGCUGCUGCGCCCUAACAGUGCAAGCGCGCGAAGGCCUCGUUCUCCUGAGCUCCGCCCAUUUGGUUGUGAUUUGAGCUGCUACUUCGCAAUUCCAUGGAUGAGCCUUUGAAAAUGAUUCGAAGAACUCAUUCUCUAGCAAGUUGUUUAGUUCUUGAUUAAACUAUUACUGAAAAGCCUCUCUUAACAAUCAUAGAGAUAUUGUCAACAUAUGGUAUUUAACUAAUUUCUUAAAUCAGCUAUACAAUAAACAUUCUUAACAGCUAACUAAUUCAAUCAUCAAAACCUGCUACAUUGUCAACGCAUGGUAUUCAAUAAUACAUUUAAAUUUUGCAGUAUUGGUUUGAGUCAAGUUGCAACUCCAACGUGAACCAUAAGAACAGUGUUUUCAUGUUCUGUUUAUUACCCAAAUAAUAUAAAGUUUAUUUUGUUCCAUACAAUAAGUCAAGUCAGUUGUUUUCGAAGACUAAAACAAGCCGUUGUUAUAAACAUAUACAGAGCGAUCUUCUGUAUUGUAUGGAUAUGGGACAACGCUAAAAAGAGAUUCACAUCUUUUAGAGGAUUUUACUCCAUGGACCAUAAUAACGCCAUUCAGAAAAGUCUCAAAGCUGCAUCGUUUUACCAAAAUCUAAGAGACCCUGAACGUGUUCAUAUGGUUAAAUACAAAAGUUAAUUGUACACUAAUAAUAAUUCCAUAACCAACAGCUUGUAGGAAUCUCUGGUUCACCCUCUUCAUUGUUUCCUUUUCAGGGUAAGAACAAAAUGACUAACUAAUCUACACAGAAGAGACCUCUCCACUUCACUUAUCAGCCGUGUUUGCCUGAUAACUUAAAAACUAGAAGGCAUAUAUAUAUGCUUGAAUGCAGAUUACCGUUCAACUGAAGAGGUUUCUGCCAGAAAUAACUCGUAAAUAUCUUGUUUACAGAGGGAGCUUUAAGACAGUCUCUAUGUCUUUGAUUAUAAGUUGUCUGUCUUAUCAUCAUCCUUCAAAGCUGUACUUGGA